AGGUCAUGGUUAAGGUGAAGAUAACGAACAGUGAUCAAUCUCGUAAGGUCAGGGUAAAUGUGAAGAUAACGAACAGUGAUCAAUCUCGUAAGGUCAGGGUUAAGGAGAAGAUAACUGUGCUGGAUUCCGGAUUUUUUUUUUUUUUAUAUUUGUCCGGGAUUGGUUUUGUUUUGUAUGUUACAAAAAGCUCCCAGCACGUUCACGGCAUGGUACCCGUACUCAUGCAUUUUGACUUCCAACUUUCCACAACUUCAUGGCACCAAAGUUAUUUUACCCUCCCUGGAGGUUGUCUCUCUGCCAUUAAAAGUAAAGAAACAUA